AUGGCCUCCAGCGAGCUGCCGCCGUCAAAGAAGAAAUCCAGUCCCACCACCAUAAGCUCCCUCGGCGAGGACCUCCUGUGCGAGGUUUUCCUCCGCCUGCCCUCCCUCCCUACCCUCGUCCGCGCCGCCCUCACCUGCCCCGCCUUCCUCCGCGCCGUCCGCUCGUCCCCAAAAUUCCGCCGCCGCUUCCGCGAUCUUCACCCGGCCCCGUUUCUAGGUGUCUUCCUCGACAUCUACGACCCCGGCAUGCCCGCCUUUGCGCCCAUCCGCCGCCUGUCCGAUCCAGACCACGCUGCCGCCGUCCGCGGCGCCGAUGUCUUCCUCACCCGUGUUCCUGACCUGGAAGCCGAAGAGGAAGGCGGUGCCGAAGAUGAAGGGGAAGGGGAAGGGGAAGACGUAGAUGAAAACAUCGGGUGGUCGAUGACGGAGUGUCGCGACGGGUACGUGGUUCUCAUCAACCGGACUUUCGGCCGGAUCAUCAAGCGGGUGGCCGUCUACGACCCCCUCACGCGGGGCCUGCACCUCCUCCCCGCGCCGCCCGGAGAACCAGAGGAGUCUGAAGUUGAGUUCCACGUCGUCACCUCCGAUGAGGACCGCCGGUCGCUCCGCGUCGUCUGCGUCUGCAAGGAAGAAAGUGGGAAAGUGCGGGUCGGCGUCUUCUCCCCGGACAGCAGGGAGUGGCAUAUCUCCCCAACAGGGGCGCGCCUGCAGCUGCAGGACGAUGACAGUGGUACGCUAGUGAACGGGUAUGUCUACUGGGCAUCCGUGAGCGAAGCCGCUAUUCAUCUGCUGAACACGGCAACACUGCAGUUCUCCCGGAUGGAUCUGCCGCGGCGUAUGCAGCGAGUGGGUCUCAAGGUCGGGGAGACCAGCUAUGGGAAACUCUGCUUGGCCUGCGCAUCUGAACUCACUCUUGAUGUCUGGGUCCGGAGGGCAGAUGACAAUGGUGUCGAUAAAUGGACAUUUGAGUUGCUGGACGAUAUCGACAAGCUCCGUCUACAGUUUGUAGAUCAUUACCCACGAGCCACGACUGAAGAGGAACUGAAGGAGGUCUGCCCUAUCAGCAACUCUGAUUCUUCCUAUCCCUACGUCAUGGCGUGGCCUCCUGUUUUGGUGGGCAAUAAGGUGAACUCUCUCGGCUAG
rnacentral:rRNA from 1 species